UACGUAGGGGGCGAGCGUUAUCCGGAAUUACUGGGCGUAAAGCGCACGCAGGCGGUCCACCAAGUUUGGGGUGACAGUUGCCGACUUAAUCGGCAAAGUGCCUCAAAGACUGGCGGACUUGAGGGCCACAGAGGGACAUGGAACUCCAGGUGUAGUGGUGAAAUGCGUAGAUAUCUGGAAGAACACCAAAGGCGAAGGCAGUGUCCUGGGUGGUCGCUGACGCUGAGAGGCGAAAGCCAGGGGAGCGAACGGG
rnacentral:rRNA from 1 species